CCAAACUCUCCACUCUAUUCACUGUGCUCUGGCUACAGCACAACCUCCCAGCUUUAUUUGUAAAAUAAAAGGAAAGGAAUGGGCACUUCUUUUUCAUGGAUGGAGGAUUCAGCGAGAAUCACCACUGCUACCACAGAAGACAUUUAGGGUAACAGAAGAUGUCAGAGUGGGAUCUGCUGUAGGCUCCCAGUGGCCCCCAGGAGCACCAAGUGAGAUACCUGCUGGGCCCACUGUGUCCAUUGUCCUUGGUAGCCCCGGAGGAUCAUGGGGCUUCUCUGUCAUCAAAGCAUGGGACACUCUGAGGAAGCCUCUCACUAUCACCAGUGG